UGCAAAGCUGGCGGCGUGCCUAAUACAUGCAAGUCGAACGAACUCUGGUAUUGAUUGGUGCUUGCAUCAUGAUUUACAUUUGAGUGAGUGGCGAACUGGUGAGUAACACGUGGGAAACCUGCCCAGAAGCGGGGGAUAACACCUGGAAACAGAUGCUAAUACCGCAUAACAACUUGGACCGCAUGGUCCGAGCUUGAAAGAUGGCUUCGGCUAUCACUUUUGGAUGGUCCCGCGGCGUAUUAGCUAGAUGGUGGGGUAACGGCUCACCAUGGCAAUGAUACGUAGCCGACCUGAGAGGGUAAUCGGCCACAUUGGGACUGAGACACGGCCCAAACUCCUACGGGAGGCAGCAGUAGGGAAUCUUCCACAAUGGACGAAAGUCUGAUGGAGCAACGCCGCGUGAGUGAAGAAGGGUUUCGGCUCGUAAAACUCUGUUGUUAAAGAAGAACAUAUCUGAGAGUAACUGUUCAGGUAUUGACGGUAUUUAACCAGAAAGGCCGUUGUCGGAUUUAUUGGGCGUAAGCGAGCGCAGGCGGUUUUUUAAGUCUGAUGUGAAAGCCUUCGGCUCAACCGAAGAAGUGCAUCGGAAACUGGGAAACUUGAGUGCAGAAGAGGACAGUGGAACUCCAUGUGUAGCGGUGAAAUGCGUAGAUAUAUGGAAGAACACCAGUGGCGAAGGCGGCUGUCUGGUCUGUAACUGACGCUGAGGCUCGAAAGUAUGGGUAGCAAACAGGAUUAGAUACCCUGGUAGUCCAUACCGUAAACGAUGAAUGCUAAGUGUUGGAGGGUUUCCGCCCUUCAGUGCUGCAGCUAACGCAUUAAGCAUUCCGCCUGGGGAGUACGGCCGCAAGGCUGAAACUCAAAGGAAUUGACGGGGGCCCGCACAAGCGGUGGAGCAUGUGGUUUAAUUCGAAGCUACGCGAAGAACCUUACCAGGUCUUGACAUACUAUGCAAAUCUAAGAGAUUAGACGUUCCCUUCGGGGACAUGGAUACAGGUGGUGCAUGGUUGUCGUCAGCUCGUGUCGUGAGAUGUUGGGUUAAGUCCCGCAACGAGCGCAACCCUUAUUAUCAGUUGCCAGCAUUAAGUUGGGCACUCUGGUGAGACUGCCGGUGACAAACCGGAGGAAGGUGGGGAUGACGUCAAAUCAUCAUGCCCCUUAUGACCUGGGCUACACACGUGCUACAAUGGAUGGUACAACCAGUUGCGAACUCGCGAGAGUAAGCUAAUCUCUUAAAGCCAUUCUCAGUUCGGAUUGUAGGCUGCAACUCGCCUACAUGAAGUCGGAAUCGCUAGUAAUCGCGGAUCAGCAUGCCGCGGUGAAUACGUUCCCGGGCCUUGUACACACCGUCCGUCACACCAUGAGGAGUUUGUAUCACCCCUUAGUCAGUGGGGCUGACCCUUUUAUGAACCAGCCCGCCCUACCGUGGGGACACAAUGAUUACCGGUGAAAUUCCUAACGACGG
rnacentral:rRNA from 1 species